rnacentral:rRNA from 1 species
UACGUAGGGACCAAGCGUUGUUCGGAUUUACUGGGCGUAAAGGGCGCGUAGGCGGCGUGACAAGUCACUUGUGAAAUCUCCGGGCUUAACUCGGAACGGCCAAGUGAAACUGUCAUGCUAGAGUGCAGAAGGGGCAAUCGGAAUUCUUGGUGUAGCGGUGAAAUGCGUAGAUAUCAAGAGGAACGCCUGAGGUGAAGACGGGUUGCUGGGCUGACACUGACGCUGAGGCGCGAAAGCAUGGGGAGCGAACAGG